AUUGAACGCUGGCGGCAUGCCUUACACAUGCAAGUCGAACGGCAGCGGGGGAGAAGCUUGCUUUUCCUGCCGGCGAGUGGCGAACGGGUGAGUAAUACAUCGGAACGUGCCCUGUAGUGGGGGAUAACUAGUCGAAAGAUUAGCUAAUACCGCAUACGACCUGAGGGUGAAAGUGGGGGACCGCAAGGCCUCAUGCUAUAGGAGCGGCCGAUGUCUGAUUAGCUAGUUGGUGGGGUAAAGGCCUACCAAGGCGACGAUCAGUAGCUGGUCUGAGAGGACGCUCAGCCACACUGGGACUGAGACACGGCCCAGACUCCUACGGGAGGCAGCAGUGGGGAAUUUUGGACAAUGGGCGAAAGCCUGAUUCAGCAAUGCCGCGUGUGUGAAGAAGGCCUUCGGGUUGUAAAGCACUUUUGUCCGGAAAGAAAUGGCUCUGGUUAAUACCUGGGGUCGAUGACGGUACCGGAAGAAUAAGGACCGGCUAACUACGUGCCAGCAGCCGCCGUAA
rnacentral:rRNA from 1 species